rnacentral:rRNA from 1 species
AAGACUAAGCCAUGCAUGUCUAAGUAUAAAUAAUAUACAGUGAAACUGCGAAUGGCUCAUUAAAACAGUUAUAGUUUAUUCGAUAAUCUUUCUACAUGGAUAACCGUAGUAAUUCUAGAGCUAAUACAUGCUGCUAAACCUGACUUCUGGAAGGGUUGUAUUUAUUAGAUAUAAACCAAUGCCCUCGGGCGUUGUGAUGAUUCAUAAUAACUGAGCGAAUCGAGGCCGUGCCUUGAUGGAUCGUUCAAGUUUCUGCCCUAUCAGCUUUCGAUGGUAGUGUAUUGGACUACCAUGGCAGUCACGGGUAACGGGGAAUUAGGGUUCGAUUCCGGAGAGGGAGCCUGAGAAAUGGCUACCACUUCUAAGGAAGGCAGCAGGCGCGUAAAUUACCCAAUCCUGAUUCAGGGAGGUAGUGACAAGAAAUAACAACUCGGGUCUCCUUGUGGGAUUGCGAGAUUGCAAUGAGAACAAUUUAAACCACUUAUCCAGUAACAAUUGGAGGGCAAGUCUGGUGCCAGCAGCCGCGGUAAUUCCAGCUCCAAUAGCGUAUAUUAAAGUUGUUGCAGUUAAAAAGCUCGUAGUUGAAUUUCUGGCCAGUCGGGUGCUGUGCUUCGGCCGGUUCACGAUUUGGUCAUCCGUAGGGGAAACCUAUUCGGCCUUCACUGGUCGGUAGGCGGAAUCUACAAUUUACUGUGAAAAAAUUAGAGUGUUUCAGGCAGGCAAUCGCUUGGAUACUCCAGCAUGGAAUAAUGGAAUAGGACUUUUGUCUAUUUGUUGGUUCAAGGCAAAAGUAAUGAUUA